ACGUACAACCAUAUGGUUCAACGAAGGACUGCUGAGGAAAAAUGACAGCAUUUUGGCGGUUCAAAUGGUAUUUUUGUAACGGUCGCAACACUGGAUUAAGUUUAACUUGUGGGGGCGUUUUGUUCCUUUCAUGUCUUUCGGACCAUGGGGCUAAGUUGGAGUUCGUAGAAUACCAGGAAAAUCCUUCUUUUCUUGUUAUUCAGCCAGCAUGAAUAAAGAAGCUUGGAUACAUCAGGAAUGAAAUAUUUUGCUUGUCAGGAUGCACUUCAAAUCCAGGUUGUUGGGAAAAGUUGAGUUUUGAAAUUAUUCGUCUAACCAAAAGGCUCAAACGCCGGAAUAGCAAGCGUUAUAUAUACUAACAUUGACUGAGUAGCAGGCUCAUCGGUACUUAGUCAUUGUAUUGGUUGUGUUGUUCUGAAACGGGAGUCAUUUGAUGACUGGGUGACUACAGGAUAGCAGCAGAGCAGACAAUGGCAGUCCCUACAGAGAGAACACCAAUGACAGAAAACGGCAGAAGAGGGAAACCAUACAUGUAACCUCCACGGCAAACUGGUGCAGGAUUACAUGUAUGCAAUGUAUCAAGACGACAUUUAAUGGCAGUUUCAAUACUACACUCAGUCUCCAGCUUCACUCAAUUUUUAAUCCCCUGACUUUGAAGAUUUUAGCUUGAUAGCAAGUCAUGUAUUGCCACUUGCUAUGGACAGAUAGAUUGAAGUAUUCACAUUUUUUAUUCCGAUAUGAUAGACCAAGUAGUUUGUUCAAAAUUUCUUUUUAAAGCUUGUUUCAUGUCAUGCCCAAAAAUGUAAACCUUGUGUACUCUGCACAAAGACAAGAAGACUGAUAAAGAAUUUACUAUUACAGAACAUUUAAUUUGCAAGUAACAAUCCGCAAGUUGGAAUGUCUUAUCUAAAAAUAACAGAUAUAUUACAAGUCUUCUUUAUAUGACCUGACCUUGGAUUAUUUUGUUGUAACUGAGACAGAUCUUUGUGUUAACUCAGUUCUGAAAUGCAUUAAUGAAAAUGUGGAACUUCUUGAGUAUAACCUGGAGACAAAAAGACCACCUUAAUAACUACAAAUCAGCUCUGUUAAUGUACUCCAUUUAUUAAUAAAAGCAUGUCAGCUGUUUUCUCCACUCUUCCCUUUGGUUAGCUUGAACUUGAGAUGUGUGGAGUGUUACUUUAAAUGCCAAAUGACCAACCAGGAAUAAUUGAGAUUCUUUAAAGUAAAGAAGACAUUUAGGACAUUGUGACAGUCAUUAACACCCAACAUGUGUAGGGAAAACAACUGAUAAAUAUGCAAUAGUUAUAAUCUUAUUCAAAGCAAGAUAUCUGGAGUAACUUCAUCCUAAUUACAUGCUGCAAAAAUUCAUUUUGGGGCCUACAAUAUUAAGAAGGUAACUCAUAUAAAUAUUCACAGUGGUAUCAUGUCCAUUUGUGGAUUAAAACUUAGAAGCCUCUCAUUCACUCGGUAUAUUCGGCUAGAAACCAUUCUGAAUUCUCCAACAAUCUCAUCUGCAAAAAUCCAUAUUUGUUCUUCAUAGAUCAGAAUUUCAAGCGGCAUGAAGUCCCCAUGCAGAGUGAUAGUGUCUAACCUCUCUUGGAAUCCUGCAGUCAGUCCUUAAUUUGAUUGAUUUUGAUAGAAAUGGGAGGGUUGUUAAAUUGAUGGCAGGCAAGUUUUUCUUACGACAGCAAAAAAAUUGCCAAAACAAUUUGUAUAUGUGGGAUGGAGUUCCAUUAUCAUCAUCAACUGCCAAUGUACUGUCUGCCCGAUAUUUUCCGCGUGGAAUCAAAAUGCCUCUUGACAUUUUCUUAAUAACCUUAAAAACACAAGAGGGAUGCUGGUCUCUA
rnacentral:lncRNA from 1 species